GAUGAACGCUGGCGGCGUGCCUAAUACAUGCAAGUCGAGCGAACAGACGAGGAGCUUGCUCCUCUGACGUUAGCGGCGGACGGGUGAGUAACACGUGGAUAACCUACCUAUAAGACUGGGAUCACUUCGGGAAACCGGAGCUAAUACCGGAUAAUCUAUUGAACCGCAUGGUUCAAUAGUGAAAGACGGCUUUUCUGUCACUUCUAGAUGGAUCCGCGCCGCAUUAGCUAGUUGGUAAGGUAACGGCUUACCAAGGCAACGAUGCGUAGCCGACCUGCGAGAGUGGUCGGCCACACUGGAACUGAGACACGGUCCAGACUCCUAAGGGAGGCAGCAGUAGGGAAUCUUCCGCAAUGGGCGAAAGCCUGACGGAGCAACGCCGCGUGAGUGAUGAAAGUCUUCGGAUCGUAAAACUCUGUUAUUAGGGAAGAACAAAUGUGUAAGUAACUAUGCACGUCUUGACGGUACCUAAUCAGAAAGCCACGGCUAACUACGUG
rnacentral:rRNA from 1 species